AUGUAUGAAGAUCUUUGCGCCAAGUACUUUGGAUUGAGAAAAGAUGGUGAAGUUGACAGAUAUGUGGUGCUUAACAUCAAUGCAAGUUGGCUUUCUAUUGCUGGCAGAAAUUAUUUGCAGCAAGACGGCAACAGAUGUUUAUUGGGUGUCCCUCAGUGUCAUUCAUGUGCUCAGUGUUUCUGGAUGAAUGAGCUGUCUUCUGUUGGUUUCAGUGUACUUAAGAAGUUGGAGUCCGCUGUCGAAAUUUCUCUGAAGCCUGCAUCUUCAUAUACACUGGUGAGAACUAUCCUUAUCAUAAAUGAGAUAGCAAAGUUCUUCGAAGAACCACAGUUCAGUAUUCCAAAAAGUUCUAAGAAGUUCAGAAGCCUUUUUAUUCUCUGUGAGUGUCGCUUCUUCGAGUUAGUUUUCCUUGUGUGGAGAGAUGGGACAAUGGGGAGCCUCUUGUGUCUACUUGACUCACCAGCUGCAUAUGAAUUGAUUGCUGAUUCUCUUAGUGCAAAUCUUUGCCUGGUAAAUAAAAAUUUAACUCGGGGGCAUCUUGGGAGAACAACCAUGCUUGUGCUUCAUGCAGCACACUUGGGCGAAGCGCGACUUUCAUGA
rnacentral:rRNA from 1 species